ACCUGUUCCCUCGGGAAAUAGUUAGUUUUGUUUUCCCUCGAAUCUUAAUGUUCAGAUUCCCGGGAAAACAAAACUAACUAUUUCCCGAGGGAGCAGA
rnacentral:miRNA from 1 species